rnacentral:rRNA from 1 species
CUCGACCUCAUUCGCUCAUAGCGUAUAUUAAGUUGCUGCAGUUAAAAAGCUCGUAGUUGAAUUUCGGGAUCAUCAUGUCGGUCGUGCCUUCGGUAUGAACUGGCCUCGCUGAUUCCUCCCUCUUGACGAACUGGGAUGCCAUUAAUUUGGGGUCGGAGGGAAUCAGGACUGUUACUUUGAAAAAAUUAAAGUGUUUAAAGCAGGAACCC